rnacentral:rRNA from 1 species
CCAAUAGCGUAUAUUAAAGUUGUUGCAGUUAAAAAGCUCGUAGUUGAAUUUCGGGAUUGACACAUCGGUCGUGCCUUAAGGGGUAUGAACUGGUGUAGUCAGUUUCUCACCUUCUGGAGAACCGCGAUGUCCUUAAUUGGGUGCCGCGAGGAACCAGGACCUUUACUUUGAAAAAAUUAGAGUGUUUAAAGCAGGCCUUUUGCUUGAAUACAUUAGCAUGGAAUAAUAAAAUAGGACGGAUGGUUCUAUUUUGUUGGUUUCUAGGAUCACCGUAAUGAUUAAUAGGGAUAGUUGGGGGCAUUAGUAUUCAAUUGUCAGAGGUGAAAUUCUUGGAUUUAUUGAAGACUAACUACUGCGAAAGCAUUUGCCAAGGAUGUUUUCAUUAAUCAAGAACGAAAGUUAGGGGAUCGAAGACGAUCAGAUACCGUCGUAGUCUUAACCAUAAACUAUGCCGACUAGGAAUCAGACGAUGUUAAUUUUUUAAUGACUCGUUUGGCACCUUACG